rnacentral:misc_RNA from 1 species
GAUGAAGAACGUAGCGAAAUGCGAUAAGUAGUGUGAAUUGCAGAAUUCCGUGAAUCAUCGAAUCUUUGAACGCACAUUGCGCCUUCUGGUAUUCCGGAAGGCAUGCCUGUUCGAGAGUCAUUAACAACCGUUUCGAUCCCUUUCUUUCAGAAAUUACAAAGAGGAAAAGGGUUUGGUUAUGGUAGAGGAGGGAAAGGGAGCGUUUAGCCUGUAAAAAAAGAGGCUGUGUUCCGCCUCCCCCCCAAAAUUGUACAGGCGGUCGUGUGCGCCCACGCAUCGAGGUGUUGUAAAAGCUGCCACGGCACUUUUCACCUGUGCAGUGCGAGAUUGGCCAGCCGGUUUAAAAACCCCUCCAAACAAUCAAAGGUUGACCUCGGAUCAGGUAGGGAUACCCGCUGAACUUAAGCAUAUCAAUAAGCGGAGGA